rnacentral:rRNA from 1 species
CCUACGGGAGGCAGCAGUGGGGAAUUUUGGACAAUGGGGGCAACCCUGAUCCAGCCAUGCCGCGUGAGUGAAGAAGGCCUUCGGGUUGUAAAGCUCUUUCAGCCGGAACGAAAAGGUUACGGUUAAUAACCGUGACUAAUGACGGUACCG